rnacentral:rRNA from 1 species
GACGAACCGUGCGAACGUUAUUCGGAAUCACUGGGCUUAAAAGCGCGUGUAGGCGGGCCGCCGCGUCGGCUGCUGAAAUCCCCCGGCUCAACCGGGGAACGGGCACCGAUACGGGCGGCCUCGAGGGGGGUAGGGGGGCCUGGAACUUCCGGUGGAGCGGUGAAAUGCGUUGAGAUCGGAAGGAACGCCCGUGGCGAAAGCGAGGCCCUGGACCCUUACUGACGCUGAGACGCGAAAGCCAGGGGAGCGAACGGG